AACGCACAUUGCGCCCCUUGGUAUUCCGAGGGGCAUGCCUGUCCGAGCGUCAUGAACACCACUCAAGCCCAGCUUGGUGAAUGGGCCGUGCCGCCGCUCGCGCGGUGGCAGGUCUCAAAUCCAGUGGCGGCUCCAGCAGAGCCCACGCGUCGUAAGGAAUACCUCGCUCAGGGAUCUCUAGACUGGAUGGCGUCUCGCAACCCUUCACAGGUUGACCUCGGAUCAGGUAGGAAUACCCGCUGAACUUAA
rnacentral:misc_RNA from 1 species